UUUGAUCAUGGCUCAGAACGAACGCUGGCGGCAGGCCUAACACAUGCAAGUCGAGCGAACCCUUCGGGGUUAGCGGCGGACGGGUUAGUAACGCGUGGGAAUAUACCCUUUGGUACGGAAUAGCCUCGGGAAACUGAGAGUAAUACCGUAUGUGCCCUUCGGGGAAAGAUUUAUCGCCAAAGGAUUAGCCCGCGUUGGAUUAGAUAGUUGGUGGGGUAAUGGCCUACCAAGUCUACGAUCCAUAGCUGGUUUGAGAGGAUGAUCAGCAACACUGGGACUGAGACACGGCCCAGACUCCUACGGGAGGCAGCAGUGGGGAAUCUUAGACAAUGGGCGCAAGCCUGAUCUAGCCAUGCCGCGUGGACGAUGAAGGCCUUAGGGUUGUAAAGUCCUUUCAGAUGGGAAGAUAAUGACGGUACCAUCAGAAGAAGCCCCGGCUAACUCCGUG
rnacentral:rRNA from 1 species